UUGCGCCUGCGGCGGACCCGGCACGGAUUUAUCACAGCGCUUCGCAGGCAGCCUGUCCGUGUACGGCCCGGUACAUCCCGGAAUUUUCCGGGCUUUAAUGUCUUCU
rnacentral:ncRNA from 1 species